rnacentral:rRNA from 1 species
AUUGAACGCUGGCGGCAUGCGUUAACACAUGCAAGUCGAACGGCAGCACGGUCUAGCUUGCUAGAUGGGUGGCGAGUGGCGAACGGGUGAGUAACGCGUAGGAAUAUGCCUUGAGGUGGGGGAGUAACUUGGGGAAACUCAAGCUAAUACCGCAUAAGCUCUAAGGAGGAAAGCUGGGGACCGUAAGGCCUGGCGCUUCAAGAUUAGCCUGCGUCCGAUUAGCUAGUUGGUGGGGUAAGGGCCUACCAAGGCGACGAUCGGUAGCUGGUCUGAGAGGAUGGCCAGCCACACUGGGACUGAGACACGGCCCAGACUCCUACGGGAGGCAGCAGUGGGGAAUAUUGGAC